GGGGUUGUGGCUCAGAGGCAGAGCACUCGCCUAGCAUGUGUGAGGCUCUGAGUUCAAUUCUCAGCACUACUU
rnacentral:tRNA from 1 species